UUACAGGUUAGAGAGAUUGUAUAUCAAUAUCAGUUCUCUCUCAACGGCUUUACCCACCGUUUUGCAACUAGCUAGGCCUCCACGGCAGGCAGGGGACGUCCAUCACCGGCAGAGCAGCAACUCGUGCGCGCGUGAACGUCGUUGUCCAUCCCCUGCAUCUGAGGGAGGAUGUACGCGGCCCUCAGUGCGGCGCAAUGGGUAGUCGGCAAGGCGCUAGCCCCCGUUGCGGACGGGGUGCUGGAGGCAUGGGCGGCCACCAGGAACUUUGGUUUCAACAUCGAGGCCCUCAGCAUGGAACUGAUGCUGGUGAAGGCCACGCUCGAACAAGCUGGACGCAAGGAGCUCGGCGGGCCGGCCAUGGAGAUGUUGCUGCAGAAGCUGCGUGACUCGGCGCAAAAUGCUGAAGACUUGCUAGAUGAGCUCGACUACUUCCGCAUCCACGAUGAGCUCCAUGGCACCGAUGAUGCUGCCGGCGAGCACAACAAGGGUUGCUUCCACAACCUUGCCUUUAAUGCUUGCCACACCGCCAAAGCUUUUGGCAAACUGGUCAACUGUGCUAAGCAUCGGCAGAGGUCACACAGCGACUCCUCGGCCCCAGACGCCAACCAGGAGCUUAGCGGAUGCAUGCCCAAGCUUGGUAAACUCCUCCCUUGCUCAUCUUCCCUGCAUCCACAUGUUCGUGAUGGUGAUCGUGGCAGUGAUGACGACUGUGAUAGUGAUGAUGAUUGUGGCAAUUUGCAAGAAACACCAAAGCUUGAGUUUAAUAGGGUUUAUUUCUCUCAAAGGAUGAAGGACAUUGUAGAGAAAUUGCAACUUAUGCGCAAUGAGGUUAGCAAGAUUCUGAUACAUUGUGGCCCUAGAACUGUCCCAGACAUUGCCCUGAGUCGUCCUAUCACCAAAAGUCGAAUUGAUGAGCCAAAACUAUAUGGGAGGGACCAUGUCAUGAAUAGCAUCAUACAUGAUAUCACCAAGGGUCAAUACUAUGACAAGGGUCUAACUGUGUUGCCGGUAGUGGGUACAGGGGGAAUGGGGAAGACAACUCUUAUACAACACAUAUAUCGCAGCCAGCAAGUGCAGAAUCAUUUUCCAGUCAUGAUUUGGAUAUGUGUAUCGCUCAAUUUCAAUCUAGAUAAGGUGCUAGAACAAAUUAAAACAUGUACACCUCGAGUUGAAAUGGAAAAAGAGGCUAUUACAACAGAAGAUGUGAUCGAACAAAGAUUAAAAUAUAAAAGGUUCUUGCUUGUAUUGGAUGAUAUAUGGCGGAUUAGUAAUGGUGAUGAUUGGAAAAAAUUAUUGUCGACGCUCAAUCAAUCAGAAGAAAGGGGGUGCAUGAUUCUAGUCACAACUCAGUUCCAGGCAAUAGCACAAAAGGUUAAAACAACUGGCCAAUCAAUAGAACUGAAUGGUUUAGAAUCUGAAGAGUUUAGGAAGUUAUUUCUUGCAUUUGUCUUUGGUGAUGAACAAUGUGCAAGGGAUAAACAUUUCUUACUUGAGACAGGAGAUAAGAUAAUGGAAAAGCUGAAGGGCUCCCCUCUUGCAGCAAAAACUGUUGGUAGAUUACUGAGUAAAGAACUUAGCUUGCGGCAUUGGAAAAGGGUCCUAAAAAGUAAGGAAUGGGAGAAGCAAACCGAUGACAAUGAAAUUAUGCCUGCCUUGAAGAUUAGCUUUGACUUUCUCCCUUUUUAUUUGAAACAAUGUUUCUCCUAUUCUGCAUUGUUUCCUGAAGAUUAUCAUUUCAGAAGCCACGAGCUCAUCAACCUGUGGACCGGACUAGACAUUUUGGUACCUGGUGGCCAAAACCAAGUUGUUCAAGAUAUAGGUUUGAGUAAUUUAAAUGAGCUAGUUAUCCAUGGAUUUUUCAGAGAAGAGGAAACUAAUGAUGGUCUGCAUUAUGUUAUGCAUGACCUAUUGCAUGAUUUGGCAUUGAAGGUUGCAUCACAUGAUUGUCUUAGUUUACAUCUCUCUGAUGUUGGGUCAGUAGAUAUUCAGCCAUCCACCCAUCACUUGUAUGUACGCACAGAGAACUUGGGUGAAUAUAAUGCAGUGUCUUCUCAAAACAUUAAGAGUGAAUUGGAAAAGUUGAAGACAUCAUUGAAGGUUGAACAUUUGCAAACAUUGAUGUUAUUUGGAAAAAUGGAUAAAGGUUUUGCCAAGAUAUUUGGUGAUUUUUUUGGGGAAGCAAAUGCUCUUCGUGUUCUUUAUUUUCCUGACAUGACGUAUCCCGUGGAAUCCAUGUUACAUAACUUUUCAGGACUUGUCCACCUACGAUUCCUAUGUCUAGGGACAAAGGAGUGGCAGAUGCAUUUACCACUUAGCAUCCUUAAAUUUUAUCACUUAAGGGUUCUAGAUCUUAAGUCGUGGCAUGGCAGUUGUGAUUUUCCUGAAGACAUGAGCAACCUUGCAAAAUUGUGCCAUUAUUAUACCCCAAGAGAUGAGGAGCUUCAUUCUCAUAUUUAUAAUGUGGGAAAACUUAAACUCUUGGAAGAGUUAAAGGUAUUUCAGGUCAAUAAAAAGAGUGAAGGAUUUGAACUAAAGCAACUAGAGCAUUUGACCAAGCUAAGGGAACUUGGCAUCUACAACCUCGAGAAAGUGCAUACAAAAGACGAAGCAGCUCAAGCAAAACUGAUAGAGAAAAACUACUUGAGGAGGUUAACAAUGGAUUGGGAUAGUGAUCGAUCUACUGUUGAGCCUGGUGUGGAAGCAAUGGUUCUUGAGAACCUUCGACCGCAUGGAGAUCUUCAAAUGUUGUGCAUUAGAGGGAACAGAGGCCCUUCUUGCCCAGCAUGGCUAGGUGAUGAGCUCGCUGUUGAUGCUCUACAAUCUCUUAGUCUUUAUUGUGUUUCUUGGGGAGUUUUCCCUUCUUUAGGGAAGGCAUGGGAUCUUCGUGAACUAAGAUUGGAGCAUGUUGACAAGCCGAAGGAGUUUACUAUAGAGAAAAGCUUUUGCAUGCUAAUAAAGCUUGAACUAAUUGGCCUAGGAAGUUUUGAAAAUUGGGUUUACCCAGCUGAACAAGAGUCUUCCGUUAGUGGAGACUUGUUGCCACCGGAUGCUCAUAUGUUCCCUCUUUUGCAAGUUCUGAUUAUUAGGGAGUGCCCGAAACUAUUGGGGUUGCCUUUCUUGGACCACAUUGUUUCCCCAGAUUGGUUCCCCAAGCUACAAGAGCUUGAGGUAUGCGACUGUCCCGAAUUCUUGCCAGUGAUUCCCAUCUCCUGGAUGGAAAGUCUUUGUUUUGUCAAGAUGAAAUGUAUAAAGAUGCUAAAGGAGUUUGCGUACUCAAAAUCAUCCAAUGGAGCAGAAUUGGAGAUUAUCGGAGAGGGUGAUCUACAUAGCAUCGACCAAGUGUUAGUUUUUGAUAAAGAAACUAGUCUUGGGAAGCUGACACUCGAGAGGUGCCCACCUCUGGAGUUGAAGCACCUCUUAAUGCUAACCUCGGUGAAGACAUUGAUUGUAAGAAAAUCAGAUGGUCUAGUUGGACCACUAGGAGGUCAGGGUGAUGUGGAAUGGCAGCUCCCUGUUGAGUUUAUCACGAUCUGGGACUUAAAUGGUAAUAGUGGGAAGGAAUUGACAGAUCUCAUCCCUCACCUCCCAAAUCUCUCUAAAUUGGACAUAAGGUUUUGUAAAAACAUAAAACGUUUGGUAGUAGGGGUGGAUUUGCGACAUACAACAUCGGCAGCACCAGAGAUGGAUGAAGAUGAAAUAAGAGCAGCAGAAGAGGAAGAGGAUGAAGGGGUGCUGCUCUUCCCAGCUCAUCUCUUUGACUCACUUCAGGAGUUGGUCAUCUGCGAGUCCCAAGAGCUGGUACUGGUGGACCCACCAACUCUUGUUCCAGGAGGAGGAUGGCUUGAAACCUUCCGAUCCCUCCAGAGACUAAGAAUAGAGGGCACCCCAAGAUUUCUAUCCGCCUUCUCAUUUUCCCAUCACAUUUUUCCUUCCUCCCUGAGGUUCCUGAAGCUUUCAGCUGUGAAAGGCAUGGAGACACUGGAGCCCCUCUCAAAUCUCUUCUCUCUUACCAGAUUACAAUUGUGGUAUUGCGGAGAGGAUCUGAAAUGUCACGGCUUGGAGUUUCUCCUUGCCUGUGGCCAACUCAAGGAAUUACAAGUCAUUGGAAGCCAUAGGUUCUUUGCUGGUUGGGUUCCCAAUCCCUGGCGGGAGCCUGUUUCAUCCACACUGCGGGAGCUCUGCACGGAUGAUGCCAGGGGACUUCUUAGUGCACCUAUCUGCAGCUUCCUCUCUUCCUCCCUCACCAAGCUUGAACUUGGUGGGAUAGGGUCUGAAGGGAUGAAGCGCUUCAGCAAGAAGCAAGAGGCCGCCCUUCAGCUCCUCUCCUCCCUCCAACAACUUAAGUUUUUGUGUUUCCACAGUCUUCAGCAACUCCCUGCAGGGCUGCACAAGCUUAACAGUCUCAACACAUUAUUGCUCCGCUUCUGCCCAGCUGUCUCGUCGUUGCCCAACGAUGGCCUCCUGGAUUACCUGCUAGAGCUGGAUGUCUCUAAGUGCUGUAACGCGGAGCUGAAAGAGCAGUGCAGGGGGUUACUGGGAACCAUACUUUCCGUCAAAAUAGACUGACCCAAGGACAAUGCCUUGGAAUUUCUAGCCUUGUAUUGCUCUGCUCUUUCCAUACAUCUGGUGUUUGUUUGAUCUGAUAGUCUUCUUCAUAUUUUGCAUUUAAAUUUGGGUUAUUGUCAUUCAUCAAGACUCUGGCAUGAUGAUAGAAUAAAUGAGCUUUGGGGUUGAGAUACUGAUAUCCAGGUGUUCUUGUAUUUUUUUUGGUAGGCUUGUAGCCACCCGUGUUUACAUUUUGUCCAAAGCCCAUGAAGAUUUGAUGGUGUAUAAGAUCUUCACAAGAAUAGUAUGCAACACGUUACAGCACAGGUUUCAUUCUCUUUCACCAUACUCAGUUGUCAGUUCUGGACAAGCUACUCUCUUUUCAUGCCAUUUUAAGACUGCAUUAUAUAAUUCCAUGGACAAGUCACCAGGCAUGCUGUAUCAAAAUUCACUCGGAGGCCUGAAUCAGGACAGGUGUGAGUAACUGCAGAAGGUCUACAAUGCCGGUGAACAGUUCAGGGCACCGGAAGGUAGUGGUAGACACACCUACUCGACGACUCCUGCGAUGGGUGUACCUAAAACACAGCAGAAAAUUCGUUCAUGCGAGAAUCGUCUGCCGAGGUGGGUGAUGGAUUGGCUUGCAACAAGUCGACAGAGUAAUUGUCGUGCAGUUACAGAUGCGAUAUGCUCGCUGGAGCCAUGCCAACAGAGGGGUCCAUGCGGAGGUGGUAUAUCUGAAACCUGCAGUCGCCUCGUGACGUCGCUCAGACUGACUUACAUAUCUGCGAUGGCCUCGUGCCCGUGGUGCCCAAGAUAUAUGGCUGGCAGGACUGAAACCAUCCAUUCUUCCUUCACUCAUCACAGAGUCGUAAUAAUCCUGGAAUGUCUGCACGCCAUUGUUGUUGGCUUUACGAGGUGAUGAGAAGAUCACUGAGGGCGUUGUUUGAUAAAUGGUGCUUCUUUUGGAUCAUACCCGUCUGGUGGAAGAUGUGCCUGCCUCCCUUCAUUGCUGGCGUGCUCCUCUAGUGUAGUGCUCAUUCAUGUCCGUGUUUCUUGUUACGGUGACAGUGUGUGUGCACCAUGUGUGCAAGAAUUAAUGGGUCUGGGGGCUCGUUAAUUCAAAUUUCCCCGAGUGUUGUUGCUCGGUCGCAAAAAACUGAGCUUGAUUAAUCUCAACGAUGCAAAGGUUGGCUGGAGAUUUAUUCCUUCCUUUGCAUCCAGAAGAAAAUUGUAACUAUAUGUACAUGUGGAGUUCUAUUAGACAGAGAGUUUGGAUUUUAC